AAGGUUCUGCUGUGCCUUCUCCCCCUUCAAUCUGCAUACGUUACGCACCAUCAACGAUAUAGUUUCCUAAAAUAAUCUGCCAUUCCAAUCGUUCAAUGGAGAGUCCAUUCCAUACGUUACGAAUGAAAGAAAAUCCCCAUUAACAGCUCCAUCAUUACUGCUAAUCAAACUCUGGAGAUGUUCAACUACAUAAACCUCGAAAGAGGUUAUCUUCCCAAAGGUUCGCAAUUGCUUCUUCACCGUAUUCUUCAAGAUUAAUCGGUCAAUACUCUAUUUUGACUAUCAAGCUGUGGAGAUGCUCAACUACGUAAACUCAAACGUUCUCAUUUUCUUUUUCUCCAUAUCUCAUUUUCUAGCAACGGGUACUUCAACAGCUUGGAAUGAAUACACGCACUGCUUUGAAUUUGCAAAAAUGGUUAUAAUGGUAUCCAAUGAUUUCAUUGAAUAUUAUUUCAUUCAAUCUCUCGCAAAUCGCAAUACCGGAGCCAAAGAUGCUUACUCCGGAGAUGUUCGUUGGGUUAUUGAUCUCAAGGUUCAAACUUGAAGUGAGGGCAUUAUAUAUGGUGACUCUAUAAAACAGGUGCAAGAAAGAUAAUUGUUGCAAAUGUUGGACCUGUCGUUUGCAUGCCAUUAGAAAAAGUUUUAAAUAUAAUUUUCAUAUGGCCAAUGAUUCGUGCAUCAGUGAAAUGAAUGCAUCAAUGUAAAAAAGAAGUUACCACCCAGAUAAUAUGGGGGAACUUACUGGCUUCAAGAUCAACUUUGCGUGUUUAUAUCUUGAUGUGGGUGUGCUGUAUGCUGAAAUGAGAAAGAACCCUCAAGCAUGUAGGAUGCAAUAUUUUGAGUUACCAAAUUGUCUUCUUUAAGUCUUUGUACUGUCACUACUAUGAGUGAUGCAAUUGACGAUUAUACUUUGACAGAAUUUGGGUUCUAUUUGAGCUUAUUAGUUAAGUGAAUCAAUUUUCCAGGCAAGUCUGUGCCAUAAUAAUUCCAGCUUUGAACAUUUGGAAAUGUUGCGAUUGUUUCUUCUUUGAUUGUUUGUGUUCGCUUUUCUAGGUGAAGAAUAAAUCUUAAAUUUUCACUAUGUUUCAUAUAAAUUGGGGAGAGUUUGUAUUAUA